CAUGGCUGUCGUCAGCUCGUGUCGUGAGAUGUUGGGUUAAGUCCCGCAACGAGCGCAACCCUUGUCUUUAGUUGCCAUCAUUAAGUUGGGCACUCUAAAGAGACUGCGGUGUCAAACCGGAGGAAGGUGGGGAUGACGUCAAGUCCUCAUGGCCUUUAUGACCAGGGCUACACACGUACUACAAUGGCAGGUACAAAGGGCAGCCACUUAGCGAUAAGGCGCGAAUCCCGUAAAACCUGUCUCAGUCCGGAUUGGAGUCUGCAACUCGACUCCAUGAAGUUGGAAUCGCUAGUAAUCGCAGAUCAGCACGCUGCGGUCGAAUACGUUCCCGGGCCUU
rnacentral:rRNA from 1 species